CCUUCUCUCUCUCUCUUUCUCACACACACACACUCUUACACAUGUGCACGCACACACGGGAAAAGAACCAGUAAAAAAAUUUGACCCAAAUAAUCCUUUUAGCCAUAUCUAAGUAAUAUUAAAAUAAGUAUUAAAAUAAGAUAUGCAUUGCUGGCUUUACCUCCAAGAUGGGAAAACUCUUUAAAGAUGGACUAGGGAAGUCUUUUUCUUAUGACUUGGUAGGAUAUGUGUGAUUUUAAGAAAUCCAUAGUCUAACAGUAGAUAUUUAGUAUUAAGGUAAUGCCCCACUUACCAGAAUGCCAAUGUUUUUCCAAGUUUCCACAUUCUCAUCACAUAGAUUGAAUUAGGUUUAAAA